rnacentral:rRNA from 1 species
AGUGAACGCUGGCGGUAGGCCUAACACAUGCAAGUCGAACGGCAGCACAGUAAGAGCUUGCUCUUACGGGUGGCGAGUGGCGGACGGGUGAGGAAUACAUCGGAAUCUACUUUUUCGUGGGGGAUAACGUAGGGAAACUUACGCUAAUACCGCAUACGACCUACGGGUGAAAGCAGGGGAUCUUCGGACCUUGCGCGAUUGAAUGAGCCGAUGUCGGAUUAGCUAGUUGGCGGGGUAAAGGCCCACCAAGGCGACGAUCCGUAGCUGGUCUGAGAGGAUGAUCAGCCACACUGGAACUGAGACACGGUCCAGACUCCUACGGGAGGCAGCAGUGGGGAAUAUUAGACAAUGGGCGCAAGCCUUAUCCAGCCAUACCGCGUGGGUGAAGAAGGCCUUCGGGUUGUAAAGCCCUUUUGUUGGGAAAGAAAAGCAGCAGGUUAAUACCCCGCUGUUCUGACGGUACCCAAAGAAUAAGCACCGGCUAACUUCGUG